UCCCUGGUGGUCCAGUGGCUAAGACUCUGUGCUCCCAAGGGAGGGGACCCAGGUUCAAAUCCCUGGUCGGGGAA
rfam:TPA: Bos taurus chromosome 2, whole genome shotgun sequence.